UGCCGCAGNUAACGCAUUAAGCACUCCGCCUGGGGGAGUACGACCGCAAGGUUGAAACUCAAAGGAAUUGACGGGGGCCCGCACAAGCGGUGGAGCAUGUGGUUUAAUUCGAAGCAACGCGAAGAACCUUACCAGGUCUUGACAUCCCGAUGCCCGCUCUAGAGAUAGAGCUUUACUUCGGUACAUCGGUGACAGGUGGUGCAUGGUUGUCGUCAGCUCGUGUCGUGAGAUGUUGGGUUAAGUCCCGCAACGAGCGCAACCCUUAUUGUUAGUUGCCAUCAUUCAGUUGGGCACUCUAGCGAGACUGCCGGUAAUAAACCGGAGGAAGGUGGGGAUGACGUCAAAUCAUCAUGCCCCUUAUGACCUGGGCUACACACGUGCUACAAUGGCUGGUACAACGAGUCGCAAGCCGGUGACGGCAGGCUAAUCUCUGAAAGCCGGUCUCAGUUCGGAUUGUAGGCUGCAACUCGCCUACAUGAAGUCGGAAUCGCUAGUAAUCGCGGAUCAGCACGCCGCGGUGAAUACGUUCCCGGGCCUUGUACACACCGCCCGUCACACCACGAGAGUUUGUAACACCCGAAGUCGGUGAGGUAACCGUAAGGAGCCAGCCGCCUAAGGUGGGAUAGAUGAUUGGGGNGAAGUCGU
rnacentral:rRNA from 1 species